UCAUAUGGUAAAUUGGAGCUGGGACCUAAGU
rnacentral:piRNA from 1 species